AUGACACACUUUGGAGAUAUUAUCAACGCUAUAGGAGAUUUGGGGCCAUUUCAAAAAUGGCUGCUGCUGAUGCUCAGCCUUGCAAACUUUCUAACGGCUUUUCCCAUGUUUGGCCAAGUGUUCAUGGUUCUGGAUGUGCCUCAUCACUGUAAGACAAGCUGGAUCUAUGCCAUUAGCCCAAACCUGACUGAGGAACAGCUGCUGAACCUAACUAUCCCUAGGAACACACAGGGAUCGUAUGAAGAAUGCCUUAUGUACACUCCUGUGAACUGGGAUAUUGACUCCGUCGUAGAAUACGGCCUUAAUGUCACUAAGAAGUGCCAAGAGGGGUGGGUCUAUUCUUCAGAACAGAUCCCAACGUUGGUGACUCAGUUUGACCUGGUAUGUGACCGAAAAGAGCUAAAUGACAUCUCCCAAUCCAUUUACAUGCUGGGACUUCUCCUUGGAGCUGUGGUCUUUGGUUCCUUAAGUGACAGGAUUGGGCGGCGUCCCAUCAUUUUGCUUUCCAUGCUUGUAAUGGGGGCAUUUGGUGUUGGAGCAGCUUUUGUGCCAAAUUUCUAUGUCUACGUCAUCUUGAGAUGUCUUGUGGGUGCUGCUGUAUCUGGAAUCUUUAUAGGCAUCCUGGCUUUAGGUACUGAAUGGGUUGGAGUCCCCUACCGGUCACAUGCAGUAAUUGUUACCCACUGCUGCUUUUCCAUUGGACAGAUGGUUUUGGCUGGCUUAGCUUAUGGCGUUCGCAACUGGAGGUUGCUGCAGAUUGCUGGAUCUGCCCCUGUAUUUUGCCUUUUCUUUUACAUAUGGGUCCUUCCAGAAUCUGCUCGGUGGCUCAUGACAAAAGAGAAGGUAAAGGAAGCCAAAAACCUACUUCAAAAGGCAGCAUCUGUGAAUAGACGGACCAUCUCUCCAGAACUGCUUGAUCAGCUGACGCCUGAGAAGAAGGUUAAGUCUGGAAAUAUUCUGUACCUCUUCCUGAAGAAGCGCCUGAGGAAAGUGACUUUAGUUAUGGCUUAUGCCUGGUUUGUGAACAGCCUGGUGUACUAUGGCCUCAGCCUUAACGUGGGGAGUUUUGGCUUGGACAUUUACCUGACGCAGCUUGUGUUCGGGGCUGUUGAAAUACCAGCUCGCUUCGGCUGUAUCUUCCUGCUGCAGUGGUUUGGGAGGAAGAAAUGCCAGGGCUGCUUUCUGCUCCUGGGCGGAGCCAUGUGUCUCAUCAUCACCUGCAUCCCAAAAGAUUUGCCGGUGGUGGUCACGACGAUGGCGGUGAUAGGGAAGUUUGCCAUCGCGGCCUCUUUUUCUGUCUCCUAUGUGUAUGCCGCAGAGCUGUUCCCCACCAUCAUCAGGCAGACUGGUGUGGGGUUGUGUUCAAUGUCAUCCAGAGUGGGUGGCAUCAUCUCCCCUCUGAUUAGUCUAUUGGACAAGUACCAUCCUGCUAUUCCCAUGGUGAUAUUUGGAAGCACUCCAGUGACUGCAGGAAUCCUCUGCUUCUUGCUUCCAGAGACGCGUGGCAAAGAGCUUCAGGAUCACACGGAGGAAGCUAAGGAGAGCCAGUGAAUUAUGUUUUCCAACCCCAAACCCCAAAGAAAGCAUUAUAAUUGAAAACCAAGAGAAUGCCCUUGUGGUGUGGACACGUUCAUUCAGAGGAGAUGCACGGAGUGUUACGCACGGCCUGAUCCAGCCUCUUUGAAGUCUACUGGACUUUUGCUAUUUUCUGCAGUGCAAGUGGGAUCAGACCAUCAAGGCCAGGGGAUGACUUUACUCACUGCUGAAAUGCAGUCACCUCUGGGGUGGAAUACAGCAGCAAUUUAACAGCACGCAGCAACACUACACAAGAAUGUAGGGAUGGGCGUGAACAAUAUCACAGGCUCCUGAAGCUGCAAGAGUACUGUAGAUGCUUAACAUAGGCACUGUACUUGGAGAAGGUUAUUAAAUAUAGAGGAUAUAGAAUAAUGUGUGUGUGUGUAUAUAUAUAUUUGAGUGUCUGCGUGUAUAUAAUGUACAUACAAUAUAUGUGUGUGUACAUGCAUGUGUAAUAUAACACAUAACCCUUCUACCAGGGGCUUAUAUGUGUGUGUGUGUGUGUGUAUAUGUAUGUGUGUGUGUGUGUGUAUAUAUAUAUAUAUAUAUAUAUAUGGUAAAUUAA